AAUGGGUGAUGCAAAUAAUGAUCUUACCUAUGUCUGAUUCUUUGGCUUGCAGUUUUGCUAGCCACACCUUGUAGGCAUCAAGGUGUUCAUCUGUACCUGAUUGAUCAUGUUUUCGCUUUCCCCCAUGUUGCUUAAUUGGUGUUAUGCUAACAUUUACCUCUGGUUCUAGCUCCCUUGAUAAUACCAACCUGAUUUCCCUCUCCGCAGCAUUGUCCUAUAGCAUUGCUUCUGCGUGGCG
rnacentral:lncRNA from 1 species